UACGAAGGGGGCUAGCGUUGCUCGGAAUCACUGGGCUUAAAGGGCGCGUAGGCGGGUGCUCAAGUCUGUGGUGAAAUCCUCCGGCUCAACCGGAGAACGGCCAUGGAUACUGGGUGCCUCGAGGGUGAUAGGGGUAUGCGGAACUAUCGGUGGAGCGGUGAAAUGCGUUGAUAUCGAUAGGAACUCCGGUGGCGAAGGCGGCAUACUGGAUCACUUCUGACGCUGAGGCGCGAAAGCCAGGGGAGCGAACGGG
rnacentral:rRNA from 1 species